rnacentral:rRNA from 1 species
CCUACGGGGUGCAGCAGUGGGGAAUAUUGCACAAUGGGGGAAACCCUGAUGCAGCGAAGCCGCGUGAAGGAAGAAGUAUCUCGGUAUGUAAACCUCCAUCAGUAGGGAAGAAAAUGACGGUACCUGACUAAGAAGCCCCGGCUAACUACGUGCCAGCAGCCGCGGUAAUACGUAGGGGGCAAGCGUUAUCCGGAUUUACUGGGUGUAAAGGGAGAGUAGGCGGGGCAGCAAGUCAGAAGUGAAAGCCCGGGGCUCAACUCCGGGACUGCUUUUGAAACUGUUGAACUAGAUUGCAGGAGAGGUAAGUGGAAUUCCUAGUGUAGCGGUGAAAUGCGUAGAUAUUAGGAGGAACACCAGUGGCGAAGGCAGUUCACUGGACUGCAACUGACACUGAGGCUCGAAAGUGUGGGUAUCAAACAGGAUUAGAUACCCCGGUAGUC